rnacentral:lncRNA from 10 species
UCUGGCACUCCCUAGUGAGAUGGACCCGGUACCUCAGAUGGAAAUGCAGAAAUCACCCGUCUUCUGCGUCGCUCCGAAAGAUUAAAUGCCUUAAUCUUUGAGGGUGAGUGGUGGUGGUGAAGAGUAACAAAACGACACUGCUUUAGGGCACUGGUAGAAACCCACUGCAAUUUGGGGAAGGAAAUUUUUAUAAAAGCACUACCCCUGAAGAGGAGCAAGAAUAAGUUUCAGGCUCGAUACUACAGCAAGAAGAGAGGCAAGAGCAUUUGUAAAAGACGCUUCUUUGUUGGACUCACAGGCAUUGUAGUAGCCUAAGACUGAGAAUUAUUUAAAACAGUAGAGAAUACCUCCUUUUCCUCCUCUGCCACUAGGCUAACAGCUGUUGAAUACGGGUAAGAGUGGAGUACAGUUGGAAGAGCUGCAAGAAACAGAUUCUCUCUGAGGAGCAGUGCAGUGGAAAAAUACCAAAAGGGAAACAAAUAUUAAAAAAAUUACCCUAGCCAACCAUCCCACACCCUCAACUCAAGAUACUACUAGAGGAAUUUGAAGCCUGUGGUGAGCUAAGGCUAGCCAUAGCAACAACAAAUCUCAAAGAGAGCUCAGCUCCGGACUAGAUCAAAGUAAACCCCUCAGUAAUGGGCUACCAGAAAAAAGAUGUGUUCAUACCCAAGCAUAGAAAUACUUACCUCAGUCUGCACUGUCCUAUACAAGAUGUCUGGCUUUCAACAAAAAAUUAUAAGGCAUAUAAAAAGGCAAGGAAAAACAUAUUCUGAAGGAGAUAAGGUGAUCACCAAAAGGAGACUCAGAUAUGACACUCAUGUUGGAACUAUUUGACAGAAAAUUUAUAAUAACCAUGAUUAAUACCUUAAAAGCCCUAAUAGAAAAGUUAGAUUGCAUGCAAGAUCAGAUGACUGGUUUCAGCAGAGAGACAAACUAGAAAGUUUUAAACAGAAAUGCUAGAAAUUAAAAACAUUGUAACACAAAUGAAGAAUGUUUUUCAUAGAAUCAUUCGUAGACUUGACUUAGCCACGGAAAGAAUCAGUGAAUUGAAGAGAGGCCAGUAGAUUGCACAAAGUAAAACACAACGUGCAAAGGGUGGAGGCGGGCGGCGGUGGGGUGAAGGAAGAAAAGAAAAACAGAACAGAGCAUUCAAGAGUUGUGGGAGAACAUUGAGUGGUUUAAUACAGGCAUAAUUGAAUUUCUUUCAGGAGAACAGGAAUGGGUGGUAGAAAUAUUUGAAGAAAUAAAAGUUGAAAUUUUCUAAAAUGAUGGAUAGACAUAAGCAAAUUAGUCCAAAAAAAUUAGAGAACACCAAGCAGAAUCAAUACCAUGAAAACCACACCUAGAAAUUUUAUAUUUAGACUGCUGAAAGUGAAAUAUUAAGAGAUGAUUUUGAAGGUAGCUAGAGGAAAGAUACAUUACCUAUGAAGGAACAAGAUGCUAAAUAUAGCAGACUUAUCAGAAACCAUGUGAUCAAGAAGACAAGUGAGGAGCACCUUUAGAAUGAUGAAAGAAAAACAAAAACAAAAACAAAAUCUGUCAAUCUAGGAUUCUAUGCCCAGUGAAAAUAUUCUCUAAAAGUGGAGUAGAAGCAAUACUUUCUCAGACACAGAAAAAUGGAGAGAAUUCAUUCCUGGCGGCCUCACUUUAUACAGCAUUUUAAGGGAGUAUUUUUUCAGGCAUGAGUACUAUAAUAUUUAUCAGAAGAAAUAAAGGGUGUUGAAAAAUAAAUAAAGGUAAAAAUACAAUUUAUUUUUUCUUAGAAUUUAAUAGCUCUAAAAGAUAUCGUUAAACCAAAAAUACCAAUAACGUUACACAUGUUUAGAGUAUAUUGGAAAGCCCUAUGGCAACCACUAAGAAUUUUAUAAGGUACAAAUAAUAAUUUAAUAUAAGAGGCAAAAUGAAAUCAUUAAAAUUGAUCAACUAACCCAAAAGAAAGCAGAAAAAGCAGACAAAAGAAACAAAGAAAAUUAUUAUUGAGAUGUUCCCCUCCUAGGUAUUUAUCAAAGCAAAAUGAAAACAUGUUUAUUGAAAUAUUUGUAUGUAAAGGUUCAUAGCCGCUUUAUUUGUAAUUAUAGAAACUGGGAAACAACCUGAAUACCCACCACAGAUUAAUGGAUAAGCAAAUUGUGGAAUAUUUUUUUCAGCAAUCUAGAGGAAGCCAUAAUUGAUAUAUAACAAUUUAAAUGGAUCUCAAAAUAAUCAUUAUGAGUGAAAAAGUUGGUCAGAAAGGAGUAUGUUUUUAUUUGUAUAAGAUUCUAGAUGAGGCAAACUAAUCUGUAGUGACAAAAAGUAAAUUGAUAGUUGCCUAGAAAUAGGGGCAGGAUGGUUAGGAUUUGGGGGACGGUAAUGUGACAGGAGGAAGUUUUGGGGGUGUUGGAUAAGUUUAUCUUGAUGUUAUGGUUUCAUGAGUGUGUGUAUAUAUAAAC